rnacentral:rRNA from 1 species
CUGCUGCCUUCCGUAGGAGUCUGGUCCGUGUCUCAGUACCAGUGUGGGGGACCUUCCUCUCAGAACCCCUACGCAUCGUCGCCACGGUGGGCGUUACCCCGCCGUCUAGCUAAUGCGCCGCAUGCCCAUCCUCUUCCGAUGAAUCUUUCCUCGAUCUCGGAUGCCCGAAACCGAUAUACGCGGGAUUAGCCUCCCUUUCGGAAGGUUGUCCCCCUGAAGAGGGCAGGUUGCAUACGUGUUACUCACCCGUGCGCCGGUCGCCGG